GAUGAACGCUGGCGGCGUGCCUAAUACAUGCAAGUCGAGCGAACAGACGAGGAUCUUGCUCCUCUUACGUUAGCGGCGGACGGGUGAGUAACACGUGGCUAACCUACCUAUAAGACUGGGAUAACUUCGGGAAACCUGAUCUAAUAUCGGUUAAUAUAUUGAACCUCAUGGUUCUAUAGUGAUAGACCUUUUUGCUGUCACUUAUAGAUGUAUCCUCGUCGCAUUAGCUAGUUGGUACGGUAACGGCUUACCAAGGCAACGAUGCGUAGCCGACCUGAGAGGGUGAUCGGCCACACUGGAACUGAGACACGGUCCAGACUCCUACGGGAGGCAGCAGUAGGGAAUAUUCCGCAAUGGGCGAAAGCUUGACGGAGCAACGCCGCGUGAGUGAUGAAGGUCUUCGGAUCGUAAAACUCUGUUAUUAGGGAAGAACAAAUGUGUAAGUAACUAUGCACGUCUUGACGGUACCUAAUCAGAAAGCCACGGCUAACUACGUG
rnacentral:rRNA from 1 species